UACGAAGGGGCUAGCGUUGCUCGGAAUUACUGGGCGUAAAGGGAGCGUAGGCGGACAUUUAAGUCAGGGGUGAAAUCCCGGGGCUCAACCUCGGAAUUGCCUUUGAUACUGGGUGUCUUGAGUAUGAGAGAGGUGUGUGGAACUCCGAGUGUAGAGGUGAAAUUCGUAGAUAUUCGGAAGAACACCAGUGGCGAAGGCGACGCACUGGCUCAUUACUGACGCUGAGGCUCGAAAGCGUGGGGAGCAAACAGGAUUAGAUACCCGCGUAGU
rnacentral:rRNA from 1 species